rnacentral:rRNA from 1 species
AGAGUUUGAUUAUGGCUCAGGAUGAACGCUAGCUACAGGCUUAACACAUGCAAGUCGAGGGGCAGCAUGGGAGUUGCUUGCAAUUCCUGAUGGCGACCGGCGCACGGGUGAGUAACGCGUAUCCAACCUUCCCCUUAGUAGGGCAUAGCCCGGUGAAAAUCGGAUUAAUACCCUAUGUUUUCCAAUGCAGACAUCUAAAAUGGAACAAAGGUUUACCGCUAAGGGAUGGGGAUGCGUCUGAUUAGGUAGUAGGCGGGGUAACGGCCCACCUAGCCUUCGAUCAGUAGGGGUUCUGAGAGGAAGGUCCCCCACAUUGGAACUGAGACACGGUCCAAACUCCUACGGGAGGCAGCAGUGAGGAAUAUUGGUCAAUGGGCGAGAGCCUGAACCAGCCAAGUAGCCGUGCAGGAUGACGGCCCUAUGGGUUGUAAACUGCUUUUAUAUGGGGAUAAAGUUCACCACGUGUGGUGUUUUGUAGGUACCAUAUGAAUAAGGACCGGCUAAUUCCGUGCCAGCCGCCGC